rnacentral:rRNA from 1 species
AACGAACGCUGGCGGCAGGCUUAACACAUGCAAGUCGAACGCAUCCUUCGGGAUGAGUGGCAGACGGGUGAGUAACACGUGGGAACCUACCCAAAGGUACGGAAUAACACAGGGAAACUUGUGCUAAUACCGUAUGUGCCCUUCGGGGGAAAGAUUUAUCGCCUUUGGAUGGGCCCGCGUCGGAUUAGCUAGUUGGGGGGGGAAUGGCCUACCAAGGCGACGAUCCGUAGCUGGUCUGAGAGGAUGAUCAGCCACACUGGGACUGGGACACGGCCCAGACUCCUACGGGAGGCAGCAGUGGGUAAUAUUGGACAAUGGGCGCAAGCCUGAUCCAGCCAUGCCGCGUGAGUGAUGAAGGCCUUAGGGUUGUAAAGCUCUUUCAGCUGGGAGGAUAAUGACGGUACCAGCAGAAGAAGCCCCGGCUAACUUCGUGCCAGCAGCCGCGGUAACAC